rnacentral:lncRNA from 1 species
GUUAUCGCUGAGCCACGAUGGGAACUCCCAACAUAUUGUUUAAAUUAUAAGAUACUGAUUUUAUGUGUCAGUGGAGUGAGAUAGAGGUUUAAUAAGCACAAUAGUUGUGAGAAAUGAGGUUACUGAAGGAAAUAUAGAUGAGGAAAGAAAUAUUGUCACCAGUGUGCCUCUGCCUAUACAAUGGAGUCAGAAAUAGAGAGGUAAAUGAGGGUAAAAAACUAUGUUUGUUUGGGGAGAAGGAAAAGAGAAAUGGCCCAGAAAAGAUUUAGCAGGCAUGAGGUGUACAGAAGAGAGAUUCUAAGACCGAAGCAUGUGCCUUUUACAUGCACCCAGCAAUGAAGUAUAAUAUGAUAUACUUAUUUAGAAAUGAGCACUUGUGGAGUUACAGAUUAAUCAGGGCCUGUCUUUAACCUGAUCUAUUAUAGCUUCUAUAAUUACAGCUUUUAUUGCAUAUACCUUCCUGCAGCUCUGUUCGAAUGCCAAAGGACAUUUCUUUCUUUAGAAGAGAAAGGGAGCUGGCUCUAAAGAAAACUUUACAGGAAAGGCUUAUAUUUUCAAGUGAAUGGCUGAUCUACUGACAGUGGUUACAAGGACAAACCAGCCCAAUGUUCAGCUAACUGAUGGGUCAGAGCAGGCCAGUACUUCUUUGGAGGUGGCUGAGUCAAAGCCCCUUGUUAUUCAAGCAGAUGUCAUGCAGAGGGAGCUAGAGAGCUGCCUAAGGAGAGAGUACACUCCUGAAAAUUUACCUUUGCUUCUGUUGCAGUAUUAUACAGAGAGAAUUACCCAGCUGGCCCAGAGUAAAUAUUUGCAUAUGCUUAGGUGGAAGAGAUUUUGCCAUCACAGUAAGAUCAUGGAACAACUCUAUCCUCUUUAUAAGAAACAAGUUGCCUACAUUAUGCAGGAAUACAAUGAUGCCCUUCAUAGAGCUGAUAGAUUGUCUGUUGCACGAGAAAACUUCCUUAUGGGAAAAAAGAAUCCUCCUAACUUAGUGACACAGGAAGACCUGACUAUUUACACAAAUUGGUUAGUGUGUCACCUACACUCACUCAAGACUAUUCACCAAUACCUGCAGGCCCUCCAGUAUUUGCCUCUCUCCAAAGUGCUAAGUAUAGCUGUGGAUGAAAUCCCAGAGGUUGGUCAGGAAAAUGAAAAGGUCCCUGUUGAUGACAUUGACCCUGACAUCCAGGGUUCUGUAUCUCCAGGCUCUAUGAAUACCAAUAUUUCAGGGCCAACAAGAACAGAAGCUGCUUUCAUCCUGCCCCAACACACAACAGAAACAGAAAAACUGAAACCUCAGCUGAAGCUCCUGCUCUCCCAUUUUAAUAUCCCAUAUGACGUGGAGGAACUAAGGGAUGCUGCCAAGGAAAUAGAACUUUUUUCCUUGGUGUCCCAAAAAUUUCAAAGCAUCUUCAUGAAGCAGCAGAGAAUGAAGACAUUUCCAGACUAUGAUGCUGGGAUAGCCAAAGCUGAGCAUUUGAGUUUGGCAGAACCUGGUAUGGCCUUGAAAAAGAGAGCCAGCUGGAUUUCCUUUGUAAAGAUUUCCAACCCUGAGCGAGUAAUGCAAGUGCUGCAAGAUCAUGCUGCAAAGACAGUCUUCAUGGCUUCAUCUCAUCCAACAUUCGUGGCUUCCUGGGAUUUGCAUCAGGGCAACUAUGACCAAAUCUGGGAGAAUAUUUAUAGCAAUGUCAACCUUUACCAGAAUGAAAACAUGAAGGAGGAUGGCCUUUCAGUGGAGCAAAAUGAAAAUGACUCAGCACAAAUAAGUCGUAGCCAUUGUGCUGAUGAGCCUGUCAAGCAGAAGAAAGAGCCGGGGUACAGCUAUGCACUGGCCCUACAACUCCUGGGUUUGGAUGAUGGGUCUGGGCCCAGUGAUGGGGAUUCUGUCCUGAUGAGAGGGACCUACUUGUCCUUUCUGUAUCUGCGCCACCUGAGGAUCAGGGAACUGCAGGUAUGCAGAUGGCCCUGCAUGCACCUGAAUUGUUUGGUUGUCUGUAAAAGAGGUUUUCCUGCCACUAGAGUAGUAAUGUAUUUUUACACUUUGUUCUUUGAUUUUUCCAUGAAAUCAGGCCUUUUGGGAGUGGUGAGUUCUUCUCCCAGCAAUGGGGUUGACCUGCCAACCUUUGGGGCCCCAGUAAGUUUUACUCUAUAGGUGGGCUAGCAAAGGGCAGAGUCAUGACCCUGUUCUUUCUUUGUUUCAGCGCAUCUGCUUAGGAAUUCUGAACUAUUUCAGAUCCAUUGAACGAACGCUGACGAUCAACACUUCAGGCCUUACCUUGGUUGCAGGGAGCCUGGUCCCCACCUCGGAAGAUAGCUCCUGGGUAAAUACAGUAAAAGGAGGCAUGGGCACCCCACAAGGCCUAGGCACUCACCACUAUGUCCAUGGAACAUCUGCUGAGCACAAGGUGAGGAUUCUGCUACAGUUUUCCUUCCUUGAUCAUCCUGUCUCCCAAGCCACCUUCUUAGCACCUGGAAUCAGUUAACAUGAUGAAGUAAUAGGUGAGAGUUUCUAGAGAAAUAGCUUUUUUGAAAAAUUGUGGUGAAAAGGGAAAUGGUUUUUUAACCACAAUAAAAUGCAGUGUCCACUUAAGAGCA